rnacentral:rRNA from 1 species
UCCACGCCGUAAACGAUGAUAACUAGCUGUCCGGGUUCACAGAACUUGGGUGGCGCAGCUAACGCAUUAAGUUAUCCGCCUGGGGAGUACGGUCGCAAGAUUAAAACUCAAAGGAAUUGACGGGGGCCUGCACAAGCGGUGGAGCAUGUGGUUUAAUUCGAAGCAACGCGCAGAACCUUACCAGCCUUUGACAUCCCGGUCGCGGUUAGAGGAGACUCUU